UGCGUAGGUGGUAUGGCAAGUCAGAAGUGAAAACCCAGGGCUUAACUCUGGGACUGCUUUUGAAACUGUCAGACUGGAGUGCAGGAGAGGUAAGCGGAAUUCCUAGUGUAGCGGUGAAAUGCGUAGAUAUUAGGAGGAACACCAGUGGCGAAGGCGGCCUGCUGGACUGUUACUGACACUGAGGCACGAAAGCGUGGGAGCAAACA
rnacentral:rRNA from 1 species